rnacentral:rRNA from 1 species
UACGGAGGGUGCAAGCGUUAUCCGGAUUCACUGGGUUUAAAGGGUGCGUAGGUGGGAUGGUAAGUCAGUGGUGAAAUCUCCGGGCUUAACCCGGAAACUGCCAUUGAUACUAUUUGUCUUGAAUACUGUGGAGGUCAGCGGAAUAUGUCAUGUAGCGGUGAAAUGCUUAGAUAUGACAUAGAACACCAAUUGCGAAGGCAGCUGGCUACACAAAUAUUGACACUGAGGCACGAAAGCGUGGGGAUCAAACAGG